rnacentral:rRNA from 1 species
UACGAAGGGGGCUAGCGUUGUUCGGAAUUACUGGGCGUAAAGCGCACGUAGGCGGAUAUUUAAGUCAGGGGUGAAAUCCCAGAGCUCAACUCUGGAACUGCCUUUGAUACUGGGGUAUCUUGAGUAUGGAAGAGGUAAGUGGAAUUGCGAGUGUAGAGGUGAAAUUCGUAGAUAUUCGCAGGAACACCAGUGGCGAAGGCGGCUUACUGGUCCAUACUGACGCUGAGGUGCGAA